rnacentral:rRNA from 1 species
UGGGGAAUAUUGGACAAUGGGCGCAAGCCUGAUCCAGCAAUGCCGCGUGAGUGAUGAAGGCCUUCGGGUUGUAAAGCUCUUUUGCCUGCGACGAUGAUGACGGUAGCAGGAGAAUAAGCCCCGGCUAACUUCGUGCCAGCAGCCGCGGUAAUACGAAGGGGGCUAGCGUUGUUCGGAAUUACUGGGCGUAAAGGGCGCGUAGGCGGCCCUGUCAGUCAAGCGUGAAAGCCCCGGGCUCAACCUGGGAAUUGCGCCUGAUACUGCAGGGCUUGAGGGUCGGAGAGGAUGGUGGAAUUCCCAGUGUAGAGGUGAAAUUCGUAGAUAUUGGGAAGAACACCGGUGGCGAAGGCGGCCAUCUGGACGACAUCUGACGCUGAGGCGCGAAAGCGUGGGGAGCAAACAGGAUUAGAUACCCUGGUAGUCCACGCUGUAAACGAUGAAUGCUAGACGUUGGGGUUCUUGGAACUUCAGUGUCGCCGCUAACGCAUUAAGCAUUCCGCCUGGGGAGUACGGUCGCAAGAUUA